CCUGCCAUUGAAUGCUGUUGCAUUUCUUUUCUGUUGUACAGUGCUCCAAAUCCACUGGUUGAUGUGCUUCCUCAAGUCCUGUAAGAAAAGCUCAUGUUCUGGACACCAGUGGACUGCACACUGGACACUUCAGGUGCCUCUGAAGCAAAGCUGAGGGGACAGUAUGAAUCAGGAAUAGCAGGGCCAGCUGCAGGUACAGGCAAUGUAGGCAGGUUGCCUAUGGAUGCAGAUGUUCAGGGUGGCACAGUGGUCCCAAUAAAGAGCAGCCAAGUUCUACUCUUUCUUCUGCCAAGGUCUUUCUCCUGUGAAGAGGAAUACCAUGACUUUGAGCUGUUCAUACCAUGUGAAUAACUGAUUUCUACCUUCUGACAGCAAACUCUCGCAGCCUGAGUAAUUUACCCUUUUAUACUGUAAGGAUGCAUGUGUUAUAUUGUAUGUCUGCAUGCUUUAUACUCACUCUCAGAGUGAGUAUGCACCAGCUGCAGUAGCAAACCUGACCCUUCUGACUCGGUCCUAUCUCUGCCCCAUCCCUUCAUGGGAGCAGCUGAGCCCUGGCAGCAGUGUGGGAGAUGUAAAUGAUGAAUUAUUUACUGCUUGAGAGGUAAGGGCUGCGGGCAAGGAGAGGCACAAUCUCCUGAAACUAGAGACUGGAGGGCUGGGAUCCAGUGACAUGAAGUAGGCCUCUUAGUUCUACUCCUAGUCAUUCAAAACUCCACUGAAUCUUCUCAGCUAGUCUCAACAGUGGAUCUCCCUACACCUCUCUCUUCUCUUUCCUCCAUGGUCUUCUUCAUGCACAUCCACCUUCCACAACCUCCAUGUUCUACUGUAUACAGACUCUACUUACUGCUGCAUAAUUCAAAUUUUCCUGUCAGUGGAGGUGCCUUGAGUCAGCUCCAGUAGCCAACCACUUAAAAUUUUCCAAUCUAUUAAGCAGAUCACAUCAAGUUGUAUGCUCACUUCAAAAAUGGAAGAAAAACUCCAAAUAAAGAAAAAAAUAAUCAAAAGAUAUACCUCUGG
rnacentral:lncRNA from 1 species